rnacentral:rRNA from 1 species
AUAAGCUAGCCGCUUUGGUUAAAAGCAAUUUCUCGAUUUAUAUAAAUACCCCCUAAGACAUUCAAAACAAGUUUAAAUAAAUCAUUUUUCUCCCUGAGUAUGGGUGACAGAAAAGGGACUUGUCGCGCUAUAGAUAAAGUACCGCAAGGGAAUACUGAAAUAGAAUGUGAAAUAAAUCAGUUAAGUUUAAAAAAGCAGAGAUUUAGGCUCGUACCUUUUGCAUAAUGGUUUAGUUAGAAAUUUUCAAGCAAAGAGCACUUUAGUUUGACACCCCGAAACUAGGUGAGCUACUCCAAGACAGCCUAAUGUAGGGCAAACCCGUCUCUGUGGCAAAAGAGUGGGGUGAGCUUUGAGUAGCGGUGACAGGCCUAUCGAACCUAGUUAUAGCUGGUUGCUUGAGAAAUGAAUAGGAGUUCAGCCUUUCAAAUUCUUUCCUCGUAUAUUUAUAUUUGCAUUAGAUAACAGGAGAAGUUGAAGGAGUUAGUUAAAGGGGGUACAGCUCUUUUAACAGAAGAUACAACUUUUUUAGGGGGAUAAAGAUCUUAUAUCUAGUACUGAGGUGAAAUGUUUUGGUGGGCCUGAAAGCAGCCAUCCUUAUAGAAUGCGUUAUACCUCAUAUACAGGUUUUACCUUUAAUUUUGAUAAAUUAUGUCUUAGUCCUCUAAUAUUUAUCAAGUCGCCCCAUGCAGUCAUGGGGGUGCCGAUGCUAAUAUGAGUAAUAAGAGAGCACUUUAAGCGUCUCUCUCCCCGCACAAGUGUAACUCGGAUUGGACUCCCCGCCGAAUUUUAACGGCCCCCAUCAAGGAGGGUUUUGAGUAAUUAACUUGCCAACUAGAAAACUGCUCAGUGUUAUACACCGUUAAGCCUACACAGGCGUGCUUCUGAGGAAAGACUAAUCGAAAGAGAAGGAACUCGGCAAACAUAUACAAGCCUCGCCUGUUUCCCAAAAACAUCGCCUCUUGUUAUUUGAAAAUAAGAGGUCCAGCCUGCCCAAGGACCAUGUGUUUAACGGCUGCGGUAUUUUAACCGUGCGAAGGUAGCGUGAUCACUCGUCUUUUAAAUAGAGACCCGUAUGAAUGGUAAAACGAGGGCUUAGCUGUCUCCUUUUUCAUGUCAGUGAAAUUGAUCUUCCCGUGCAAAAGCGGGAAUUAUCCUAUAAGACGAGAAGACCCUGUGAAGCUUUAGAUGCGAGAUAGAUCUAGUUUAUUACCCCUAAUCAAGGGACAAGCUUUUAGAUACUAUUUUAGUGUCUUCGGUUGGGGCGACCGCGGGGGGUUGCGUAACCCCCGUGUGGACUGGGAGUAAUAUUGUUUUACUCCUAAAGCUAAGAACCUCCGUUCUAAUAAACAGAAUUUCUGACUUCAUAAGAUCCGGCAAUGCCGAUCAACGAACCAAGUUACUCCAGGGAUAACAGCGCCAUCCUCUUUCAGAGCCCUUAUCGACAAGGGGGUUUACGACCUCGAUGUUGGAUCAGGACAUCCUAAUGGUGUAGCCGCUAUUAAGGGUUCGUUUGUUCAACGAUUAAUAGUCCUACGUGAUCUGAGUUCAGACCGGAGCAAUCCAGGUCAGUUUCUAUCUAUAAUUUAAUUUUUUCUAGUACGAAAGGACCGAAAGGAAAAGGCCCAUGCUCUCAGUAUGCCUGUCUUUAAUCUAUUGAAAACAACUAAAAUAGGUAAAAGAGAAUACUUUUAUUAGGUACUA